GACGAACGCUGGCGGCGUGCUUAACACAUGCAAGUCGAACGGAAAGGCCCUGCUUUUGUGGGGUGCUCGAGUGGCGAACGGGUGAGUAACACGUGAGUAACCUGCCCUUGACUUUGGGAUAACUUCAGGAAACUGGGGCUAAUACCGGAUAGGAGCUCCUGCUGCAUGGUGGGGGUUGGAAAGUUUCGGCGGUUGGGGAUGGACUCGCGGCUUAUCAGCUUGUUGGUGGGGUAGUGGCUUACCAAGGCUUUGACGGGUAGCCGGCCUGAGAGGAUGACCGGCCACAUUGGGACUGAGAUACGGCCCAGACUCCUACGGGAGGCAGCAGUGGGGAAUAUUGCACAAUGGGCGGAAGCCUGAUGCAGCAACGCCGCGUGCGGGAUGACGGCCUUCGGGUUGUAAACCGCUUUCGCCUGUGACGAAGCGUGAGUGACGGUAAUGGGUAAAGAAGCACCGGCUAACUACGUG
rnacentral:rRNA from 1 species